rnacentral:rRNA from 1 species
GACGAACGCUGGCGGCGUGCUUAACACAUGCAAGUCGAGCGAACGGACGAGAAGCUUGCUUCUCUGAUGUUAGCGGCGGACGGGUGAGUAACACGUGGAUAACCUACCUAUAAGACUGGGAUAACUUCGGGAAACCGGAGCUAAUACCGGAUGAUAUUUUGAACCGCAUGGUUCAAAAGUGAAAGACGGUCUUGCUGUCACUUAUAGAUGGAUCCGCGCUGCAUUAGCUAGUUGGUAAGGUAACGGCUUACCAAGGCAACGAUGCAUAGCCGACCUGAGAGGGUGAUCGGCCACACUGGAACUGAGACACGGUCCAGACUCCUACGGGAGGCAGCAGUAGGGAAUCUUCCGCAAUGGGCGAAAGCCUGACGGAGCAACGCCGCGUGAGUGAUGAAGGUCUUCGGAUCGUAAAACUCUGUUAUUAGGGAAGAACAUAUGUGUAAGUAACUGUGCACAUCUUGACGGUACCUAAUCAGAAAGCCACGGCUAACUACGUG